GUGGCAGCUGGAGCGCUUCGGCGCACCCAGAACCCUUUGUGAACUUAUACCUAUUGUUGCCUCGGCGCAGGCCGGCCUCUUCACUGAGGCCCCCUGGAAACAGGGAGCAGCCCGCCGGCGGCCAACCAAACUCUUGUUUCUAUAGUGAAUCUCUGAGUAAAAAAACAUAAAUGAAUCAAAACUUUCAACAACGGAUCUCUUGGUUCUGGCAUCGAUGAAGAACGCAGCGAAAUGCGAUAAGUAAUGUGAAUUGCAGAAUUCAGUGAAUCAUCGAAUCUUUGAACGCACAUUGCGCCCUCUGGUAUUCCGGAGGGCAUGCCUGUUCGAGCGUCAUUUCAACCCUCAAGCCUGGCUUGGUGAUGGGGCACUGCCUGUAAUAGGGCAGGCCCUGAAAUCUAGUGGCGAGCUCGCCAGGACCCCGAGCGUAGUAGUUAUAUCUCGCUCUGGAAGGCCCUGGCGGUGCCCUGCCGUUAAACCCCCAACUUCUGAAAAUUUGACCUCGGAUCAGGUAGGAAUACCCGCUGAACUUAAGCAUAUCAAUAAGCGGAGGAA
rnacentral:rRNA from 1 species